CCCUUAGAUGUUCUGGGCCGCACGCGCGCUACACUGACGAAUGCAACGAGCUUAUAACCUUGGCCGAAAGGUCUGGGUAAUCUCCAAAUUUCGUCGUGAUGGGGAUAGAUUAUUGCAAUUAUUAAUCUUCAACGAGGAAUGCCUAGUAAGCGCAAGUCAUCAGCUUGCGUUGAUUACGUCCCUGCCCUUUGUACACACCGCCCGUCGCUCCUACCGAUUGAAUGGUCCGGUGAAUAAUUCGGACUGCAGCAGUGUUCAGUUCCUGAACGUUGCAGCGGAAAGUUUAGUGAACCUUAUCACUUAGAGGAAGGAGAAGUCGUAACA
rnacentral:rRNA from 1 species